GAUGAACGCUAGCGGCAGGCCUAAUACAUGCAAGUCGAGGGGCAGCGCGGUAGCAAUACUGGCGGCGACCGGCGCACGGGUGCGUAACACGUAUGCAACCUACCUUCAACUGGAGGAUAGCCCGGGGAAACUCGGAUUAAUACUCCAUAACACAGGGAUCCCGCAUGGGAAUAUUGUUAAAGCUACGGCGGUUGAAGAUGGGCAUGCGUUCGAUUAGCUAGUUGGUGUAGGUAACGGCUCACCAAGGCUACGAUCGAUAGGGGGUCUGAGAGGAUGAUCCCCCACACUGGUACUGAGAUACGGACCAGACUCCUACGGGAGGCAGCAGUAGGGAAUAUUGGUCAAUGGGCGCAAGCCUGAACCAGCCAUGCCGCGUGCAGGAAGAAGGGCCCCUCUGGGUUGUAAACUGCUUUUGAUAGGGACAAAUGCCACUUGCGAGUGGAGCUGAGUGUACCUAUAGAAUAAGCACCGGCUAACUCCGUGCCAGCAGCCGCGGUAA
rnacentral:rRNA from 1 species